rnacentral:rRNA from 1 species
UUUUGCCUGUUUUACAAAAACAUGUCUUUUAGUUUUAUUUUAAAGUUUGACCUGCUCAAUGAAUAUUUAAAUAGCCGCGGUAUUUUAACUGUGCUAAGGUAGCAUAAUAAUUAGUCUUUUAAUUGUGGUCUGGAAUGAAUGGUUUGACGAGAAAUUAACUUUAUUUAUUUUAAUUUUUUUGAAUUUUAUUUUUUGGUUAAAAAUCUAAAGUUUUAUAGAGGGACGAUAAGACCCUGUAGAUCUUAAAAAUUUUUUUUAUUUUUUUUUUUUUGUUGUUUUUUUAAAAAUAACUAAUUUUUUUUUGUUGGGGUGACAGCUAAAAAUUUAAACUUUAGUUUAUUUUAACAAUUUUUUUUGGUUAAUUGAUCUUUAAUUUUUGAUUAUAARAUAAAGAUACCUCAGGGAUAACAGCGUUAUAAAAUUGGAUAGUUCUUAUUGAUAAUUUUGUUUGCGACCUCGAUGUUGGAUUAAAAUUUUACUGUAAGGCAGGUUUUACAGUUUUAGGUCUGUUCGACCUUUAAAAUUUUACAUGAUCUGAUUCAAACCGGG